CGCAAUCUAGCGAUCUGUCCCAGUCGCAGCUGUCACAGACAUCAGCGGUGUCUGACACGCAGCUGCUGGACUCGUCGGGCCUGAACGAGGACCAGCUGAGCAGCGGCGACCGCCGGUUCGACGCAGUCAUCCCGGAAUCGGCCAUCUACAUAGGCGGCGCUUUCGUCGCCAUCGUGGUCGUCGCUGGGAUCCUGGCCUCCAUCGCGGCGCUCAGGUCAACCACGUCACACUUGGACAUCCUGGGCACGGGCCUCCCGCUCGCGAAGGAAGACGA